CCAAUCUUACCUUUAGUAACAAAUCAUAUAUCUCAGAAAAUGCACCACCUAAAAUUAUUCUGAAUUAUCAGGCUAAUGAUUUCGAUUACUUUCUACAGUAGCCAUCUUGGUUUGUCACAUGUUGCUAUAACGUCAUUUCUUAGCUUUUGCUUUAAUUUGACCAAUAGACAUUUUACUGGGAAUAUGAAUAAUAAUCGUAGUGUCAGUUCUUCUCUGUCAAUAAACAUCGCUAACGAAAGUCGUGAUGGAACAAUCUGUUGUUACUGGUCGUUGUUAAGCAGGUGUCGUUUACUAACAGCAGUGU
rnacentral:lncRNA from 1 species